rnacentral:lncRNA from 1 species
CUUGCGGACAGUGGCGGAGCUCAUCCAAGAUUUUAGGUGGGGCAGAACUUACCUUGGCCUUGGGCUGUGCCGGCCGACUUAAGUUGUUGAACCUUGACCACAGCCGAGCCUUAAGCAGCGCACAGAACACCUACACAGCAUCGAUGCCGCGGCUCACCUGCUCGGCUGCUCCUAUCCCGGUUCGUGACUUUGCCGCCUUUGUGGGCUUGUGGCUUGCCUGUAUGGCUGU